rnacentral:rRNA from 1 species
AUUGAACGCUGGCGGCAUGCCUUACACAUGCAAGUCGAACGGCAGCGCGGGGCAACCUGGCGGCGAGUGGCGAACGGGUGAGUAAUAUAUCGGAACGUACCCUGGAGUGGGGAUAACGCAGCGAAAGCUGUGCUAAUACCGCAUAAGAUCUACGGAUGAAAGCAGGGGACCGCAAGGCCUUGCGCGAAUGGAGCGGCCGA